rnacentral:rRNA from 1 species
UACGGGGGGAGCAAGCGUUGUUCGGAAUUACUGGGCGUAAAGCGCACGUAGGCGGCUUUGUAAGUUAGAGGUGAAAGCCCGGGGCUCAACUCCGGAAUUGCCUUUAAGACUGCAUCGCUUGAAUCAUGGAGAGGUGAGUGGAAUUCCGAGUGUAGAGGUGAAAUUCGUAGAUAUUCGGAAGAACACCAGUGGCGAAGGCGACUCACUGGACAUGUAUUGACGCUGAGGUACGAAAGCGUGGGGAGCAAACAGG